rnacentral:rRNA from 1 species
AGUGAACGCUGGCGGUAGGCCUAACACAUGCAAGUCGAACGGCAGCACAGUAAGAGCUUGCUCUUACGGGUGGCGAGUGGCGGACGGGUGAGGAAUACAUCGGAAUCUACUUUUUCGUGGGGGAUAACGUAGGGAAACUUACGCUAAUACCGCAUACGACCUACGGGUGAAAGCAGGGGAUCUUGGGACCUUGCGCGAUUCAAUGAGCCGAUGUCGGAUUAGCUAGUUGGCGGGGUAAAGGCCCACCAAGGCGACGAUCCGUAGCUGGUCUGAGAGGAUGAUCAGCCACACUGGAACUGAGACACGGUCCAGACUCCUACGGGAGGCAGCAGUGGGGAAUAUUGGACAAUGGGCGCAAGCCUGAUCCAGCCAUACCGCGUGGGUGAAGAAGGCCUUCGGGUUGUAAAGCCCUUUUGUUGGGAAAGAAAAGCAGCAGGUUAAUACCCCGCUGUUCUGACGGUACCCAAAGAAUAAGCACCGGCUAACUUCGUG